GGAAACCACGGUGAGAAGGAGGCAGGUUGGGCACGUGCAGGGACCACGCUGCAGGGAGGACGGGAGCCGAGUCCCAGAGGAGACACAAGGAAGAGACCGCGUCUCCUGUUCCUGUCCCUGUGGGGCCCGUCGGUAAUGUCCAGAGCCCAGGCAGCCUUCUUGUGACCAUGAGGCCUGCUGUCUGAGGGCAGAUGAACUGAAAGGUGGGCCUUUGAUGCGGCUGUCGAGCAUCUGAACUUAGCAGCCUUGGAAUCCACUCUGUGUCCAGGCUUCUUGUUACUUGAAACACCUUUCACCCUUCUGUGCUUGGUGGUUUUCUACUCAUCAUUGAAGACUCAAGCCUGUCGGUCCCCCAUGCAGUUAAACCGGAUCAAGAUCUGCGGGUGCCUUUCACAAAGAGAUGAGUUAGGCAUUGUUGCCGCUGGAGGGCCUGUGGCCACUGCAGUGUUUCCAGGAGACCUCGUUCAGAGCAGGGCGCCGCACCCCGAGGCUGCUCCCUAACCCUACUCCAGGGAGGCGCGGUUGGGGGUCUGGCAGCCUCCAGCUCUCAGCACCCAGGCAGCACCCAGGCCGCUCCCUAACCCUACUCCCGGGAGGCGCGGUUGGGGGUCUGGCAGCCUCCAGCUUGCAGCACCCAGGCAGCACCCAGGCUGCAGCGCGUUUAGCCCUCAUGGCAGCCCGUUGUGGAGAGGAGAGGCAGACGAGCGCUCCAGGGUCGUGGGGAAGCUCCCAGGGCCACGCGGCUGGAGGAGCUGCACCCGGCACCUUCUCAGGGGAGUCAGGGCUGGAUGUCUCUACAGCAGGAGACGGAGGAGCUCAGGAGCCGGCGGGGACAGCAGAACUCUGCCCGCACUCGGGGGAGAGUUGGAGGGUCCACGUCUGCUCCAACAUCCUGUGCAAAAGCAAGACAUUCACAGCCAAGGAAGUGCAUGAUUUCUGAAUGUUGUGUGAUGUUGCUUUGAGCGGAAAAUAGAGGGGGACGGGGACCGGGCUGUGGGAUGUGUGGGGUUCCGACUGCCCGGACCUGGGGCGUCCGCCUGGCAGAAAAUAAACCAGGUCCCUACUGUGUUCCUCUCUGCUGUGGCCGCCUUAACACAUAUCACAAGCAGAGGCUCCAGCAACACUGAGCGAUUACCUGGCCGCCCUGGGCUCAGAAGCCCAACAUGGAUCUCACUGGACUCAAGCCACGGUGUGGGCAGGGCUGAUUCCUGCAGCCUUCAGAGGAAGGCCCGUCUCCUGCUCAUUUGGUGGCCACAGAAUUCAGUGCCUCGUGGUUGUAGGACUGAGAUCUGUGUUCUUGCUGUGUGUGUCAGCCGGAGCCCCCCAGCACCCAGAGGCCACCGCUCUUCUCAGUCCUGGCCCCUCGCUCCAUUUUCAAAGCCAGCAACGGCCAGUCAGGCCCCCUCACAUGGAUGCUCCACUGGCACUCAUCUCUGAGCAGGGCUGGGAAACCCGUUUGGUUAUUACAGAAACAGGUGAUUGAAGGUCAGCCUGGAUAAGCCGGGUGCUCUGACCCUCCACGUCUGCAACCCCAGUCCCACCUGCGAAGUCCAUUUUGCCACAUAAAAUAACAUGCUCCCAGUGUCAAACUCAAACGAGCACACAGAGAGGCAUUUUUACGUAAGACGUUUUGUUUGGGAAAAUAACAGAAUUGAGGCCUGGUGC